rnacentral:rRNA from 1 species
GAGGAAUAUUGGACAAUGGUCGGAAGACUGAUCCAGCCAUGCCGCGUGCAGGAUGAAGGUCCUAUGGAUUGUAAACUGCUUUUGUAAGGGAAGAAUAAGGGGUACGUGUACUUUGAUGACGGUACCUUACGAAUAAGCAUCGGCUAACUCCGUGCCAGCAGCCGCGGUAAUACGGAGGAUGCGAGCGUUAUCCGGAAUCAUUGGGUUUAAAGGGUCCGUAGGCGGGCUGAUAAGUCAGAGGUGAAAGCGCUUAGCUCAACUAAGCAACUGCCUUUGAAACUGUUAGUCUUGAAUGAUUGUGAAGUAGUUGGAAUGUGUAGUGUAGCGGUGAAAUGCUUAGAUAUUACACAGAACACCGAUAGCGAAGGCAUAUUACUAACAAUUUAUUGACGCUGAUGGACGAAAGCGUGGGGAGCGAACAGGAUUAGAUACCCUGGUAGUCCACGCUGUAAACGAUGGAUACUAGCUGUUUGGAGCAAUCUGAGUGGCUAAGCGAAAGUGAUAAGUAUCCCACCUGGGGAGUACGCACGCAAGUGUG